CCCUCCCCUAGAGACAUUGCUGUGUCACAUGUGCAUCAGUUGAUGGCAAAGAAGAGAGAAGCCAUGUCUACACUCAGUAUUCUCAUUUAUGAACAUCUGAAUGAUUAGCAGCCUAACAUU
ensembl:snoRNA Gm26345 predicted gene, 26345